GAUGAACGCUAGCGGCAGGCUUAACACAUGCAAGUCGAGGGGUAGAAGUUGCUUGCAACUUUGAGACCGGCGCACGGGUGCGUAACGCGUAUGCAACCUACCUUUUACAGAGGGAUAGCCCAGAGAAAUUUGGAUUAAUACCUCAUAGUAUAUAAUCUUCGCAUGUUGGUUAUAUUAAAGUUCCAACGGUAAAAGAUGGGCAUGCGUCCUAUUAGCUAGUUGGUGUGGUAACGGCACACCAAGGCGACGAUAGGUAGGGGUCCUGAGAGGGAGAUCCCCCACACUGGUACUGGGACACGGACCAGACUCCUACGGGAGGCAGCAGUGAGGAAUAUUGGACAAUGGGCGCAAGCCUGAUCCAGCCAUGCCGCGUGCAGGAAGAAGCAUCUAUGGUGUGUAAACUGCUUUUGUACAGGAAGAAACACCCCUUCGUGAAGGGACUUGACGGUACUGUAAGAAUAAGGAUCGGCUAACUCCGUGCCAGCCGCCGCAGUAAGAC
rnacentral:rRNA from 1 species